UAAGCGGAGGAGAAGAAACUAACCAGGAUUUCCCUAGUAACGGCGAGCGAACCGGAAAGAGCCCAGCUUGAAAAUCGUGGUGCCUCGCACCUCGAAUUGUAGUCUGGAGAAGGUCCCUCUGCGACGCGCCGGACCCAAGUUCCCUGGAAAGGGACGUCAUCGAGGGUGACAACCCCGUCCGCGCCCGGAACGCGUCGCUCCACGAGGACCUGUCUGCGAGUCGGGCUGUUUGGGAAUGCAGCCCUAAUUUGGAGGUAAGUUCCUCCUAAGGCUAAAUAUGGGCAAGAGACCGAUAGCGAACAAGUACCGCGAGGGAAAGAUGAAAAGGACUUUGAAAAGAGAGUUAAAUAGUGCUUGAAAUUGCUGGGAGGGAAGCGAAUGGAAGCUGCGGGUGCGCUCCGGUUGAAUGCGGAACGGCUUUGGCUGGUCCGCCGCUCAAUGCGGGGCGCUGGUCAGCGUGGGCCAUGGCGCCGGGACAAGAGCGGGGAUUCGCUUCCCGCCUAUGCCGGUGCGGUGGCCGAGGAACGAAGCGCGCGCCGCCUUCGGGACGGCGUGGGUUCGCCCAACUGCGCGCUCGGGACGCUGGCGUAUUGAGCUCUUCAUCCGACCCGUCUUGAAACACGGACCAAGGAGUCUAACAUGUAUGCGAGCCGGUGGGCGGCAAACCCAUUGAGGCGCAAGGAAACUGACAGGUGGGACCCCGACCGCGAGGGAGGGAGCACCAUCGACCGACCGUGAUCUUCUGUGAAAGGUUUGAGUGUGAGCAUACCUGUUGGGACCCGAAAGAUGGUGAACUAUGCCUGAGCAGGGCGAAGCCAGAGGAAACUCUGGUGGAGGCUCGUAGCGAUACUGACGUGCAAAUCGUUCGUCAGACUUGGGUAUAGGGGCGAAAGACUAAUCGAACCAUCUAGUAGCUGGUUCCCUCCGAAGUUUCCCUCAGGAUAGCUGGAGCUCGUGUACAAGUUUUAUCAGGUAAAGCGAAUGAUUAGAGGCAUCGGGGGUGUAACACCCUCGACCUAUUCUCAAACUUUAAAUAGGUAAGCCGCCGGGGUUGCUUGGUUGAACCCCGGCACAGAAUGAGAGCUCCAAGUGGGCCAU
rnacentral:rRNA from 1 species